rnacentral:rRNA from 1 species
AUUGAACGCUGGCGGCAUGCCUAACACAUGCAAGUCGAACGAGUGGCGGACUGGUGAGUAAUUUCUGGGCAUCUGCCUGAUUGCGCGGUAUAACUACUGGAAACGGUAGCUCAUACCGCAUACCCUCAGAUGUGCCCAGAUGGGAUUAGCUUGUUGGUGGGGUAACGGCUAACCAAGGCGACGAUCCCUAGCUGGUCUGAGAGGAUGACCAGCCACACUGGAACUGAGACACGGUCCAGACUCCUACGGGAGGCAGAAGUGGGGAAUAUUGCACAAUGGGCGCAAGCCUGAUGCAGCCAUGCCGCGUGUAUGAAGAAGGCCUUAGGGUUGUAAAGUACUUUCAGUGGGGAGGCGUUACCCGCAGAAGAAGCACCGGCUAACUCCGUGCCAGCAGCCGCGGUAAUUC